GGAAUUGUUCGCAAUGGGCGCAAGCCUGACGACGCAACGCCGCGUGGAGGAUGAAGACCUUCGGGCCGUAAACUCCUUUCGACCGAGAUGAACGUCCCACGACCUACCCCGUCGCGGGAGUGACAGUAUCGAGGGACGAAGCCCCGGCUAACUCCGUGCCAGCAGCCGCGGGAAUACGGGGGGGGCAAGCGUUGUUCGGAAUUCCGGGGCGUAAAGGGUUCGUAGGUGGCCGACUAAGUCAGACGUGAAAUCCCUCAGCUUAACUGGGGAACUGCGUCUGAUACUGGCCGGCUCGAGUGCGGGAGAGGAACGCGGAAUUCCAGGUGUAGCGGUGAAAUGCGUAGAUAUCUGGAGGAACACCGGUGGCGAAGGCGGCGUUCUGGACUGCAACUGACACUGAGGAACGAAAGCCAGGGGAGCAAAC
rnacentral:rRNA from 1 species